CCUCUGAAUCAUUGUAAUAUAUUUUUAUUAGUGGUCACCAACGUUUUUUAAAGAAAGAGCUACUCGUGGGUAUUGAUUAAUGCAAGGGCUACCAUAAUGCUACACAGUUAUUUAAAAAAAAAAAAAAAAAGCUCAAUUUAUGAUUAUGUGUUGAUUAAAUGAUAUUGUAUCUACGUGAAGACAUUCAUCCUGUUAAUAAGUUCUCAAAUUACUCACAUUGGUCAAUCAUGUUUUAACAGGGAAUACAACAGAUAAUAUCAGUAUGCAACACUUUCUUUUGAUAAAUCUCUGCAAGUGUUAGCAUUUUUUAAAUGAUUGCUUCGAUAUGUUUCCAGUAAAUCACAUUGUCUCAGCACUGGUGAGGUAUUUGAACUGGCCCACCGGCUGCUCAUGUAUUCCUUUCGGGCUGCCUGUUGCCUGCAGGCACCAUGUUGGGACUUCUCUUUUAAAUCAUCCCACUGAGCAGCACAGCUCUGGGAUGCGUGGGCCACUUGAACAAUUUGAGUUAUGACCCACAGCACGUGACCAGAGGAGAGAAGAAAAUAGAUUGACUGGAAAAUUGAGAGCUUCACCUUUCCAUUCAGCUCCUUCAUCACCACGACACACCGAUGUCCCCAUCAAUGCAGGCGCUGCACCAAUCCUCCUGCCGAUCUCCUCUCCACUCUUCCAUCACCCAUGGACAAGACCCAAAGAUACUUCAACUCCUUCACUCAGGGCAGUCGUGCUGAUCUCUGCUCUGUAAACAAUGUGCUUCACCUGGGCUGAAUUUUAAGGGAAUGAGUGGAGAGGUUUCGAUUGGCUGGCAAUCAUGUUAGCUGUGUUUACUCCCACAAUGGCGCAAACAUCUAUUUCUAUCUGCGCCCAUCUCCAAAAAUGCCAAAAGAAAGAAAACUCCACCCAUGCGUUCAGUUAGACUGCACUUUGUGUUUGACUUGUACCGGGCGUGAAAAUGGGGCCUCGAGCGUCUGUGUGGAGUUUGCAUGUUCUCCCCGGAGCUUGUGUGGCUAUUGUCCAUGUAAUGCUUAUUCCAACGGUCUAUAAAUUUUAGGUUAAUUAAGACACUCAAUUAAGCAUUUGUGUAAAUGUUCGGGUAAAUGGUUGCGUGACUGGCAAUCAGUCCUCACCUAUUAUCCUGAAUAGGAUAAGCAAUAGAAAAUGAAUGGAUGGAAGUCAAUGGUAUGAUCUAAACCCAAGUGUAUGCUUUGCACUCAUUGAAGACAAACGUGAAGGCGGACACACAAACAAACAAGCAAUGAAGUUCUAGCAAAGCAUCCCUGGAGAGGAUUUGCUGAGAUCCCUCAGCUGCAGUUAUUGACUACAAAGGAAUUUCAUCCAAGUUUCAGAAAAGUGGUGGCAUUUACAAUAAUAUCAAUCGCACAUUGUAAAAAAUGAAAUGCUUCUACUUAAUGGUAAAUUUGAUGAAACACUGAAUUAAAGCUGAAUGUCGACACAUCA